CAGCCGCCGCGGUAAUACGUAGGGGGCGAGCGUUGUCCGGAAUUAUUGGGCGUAAAGCGCGCGCAGGCGGUCCCUUAAGUCUGAUGUGAAAGCCCACGGCUCAACCGUGGAGGGUCAUUGGAAACUGGGGGACUUGAGUGCAGAAGAGGAGAGCGGAAUUCCACGUGUAGCGGUGAAAUGCGUAGAGAUGUGGAGGAACACCAGUGGCGAAGGCGGCUCUCUGGUCUGUAACUGACGCUGAGGCGCGAAAGCGUGGGGAGCAAACAGGAUUAGAUACCCUGUUAGUCCACGCCGUAAACGAUGAGUGCUAAGUGUUAGAGGGGUUAAACCCUGUAGUGCUGUAGCUAACGCGUUAAGCACUCCGCCUGGGGAGUACGGCCGCAAGGCUGAAACUUAAAGGAAUUGGCGGG
rnacentral:rRNA from 1 species